rnacentral:rRNA from 1 species
AGACCCGAAACCCGGUGAUCUAGCCAUGGGCAGGUUGAAGGUUGGGUAACACUAACUGGAGGACCGAACCGACUAAUGUUGAAAAAUUAGCGGAUGACCUGUGGCUGGGGGUGAAAGGCCAAUCAAACCGGGAGAUAGCUGGUUCUCCCCGAAAGCUAUUUAGGUAGCGCCUCGUGAAUUCAUCUCCGGGGGUAGAGCACUGUUUCGGCUAGGGGGCCAUCCCGGCUUACCAACCCGAUGCAAACUGCGAAUACCGGAGAAUGUUAUCACGGGAGACACACGGCGGGUGCUAACGUCCGUCGUGAAGAGGGAAACAACCCAGACCGCCAGCUAAGGUCCCAAAGUCAUGGUUAAGUGGGAAACGAUGUGGGAAGGCCCAGACAGCCAGGAUGUUGGCUUAGAAGCAGCCAUCAUUUAAAGAAAGCGUAAUAGCUCACUGGUCGAGUCGGCCUGCGCGGAAGAUGUAACGGGGCUAAACCAUGCACCGAAGCUGCGGCAGCGACGCUGAUGCGUUGUUGGGUAGGGGAGCGUUCUGUAAGCCUGCGAAGGUGGCCUGUGAGGGUUGCUGGAGGUAUCAGAAGUGCGAAUGCUGACAUAAGUAACGAUAAAGCGGGUGAAAAGCCCGCUCGCCGGAAGACCAAGGGUUCCUGUCCAACGUUAAUCGGGGCAGGGUGAGUCGACCCCUAAGGCGAGGCCGAAAGGCGUAGUCGAUGGGAAACGGGUUAAUAUUCCCGUACUUGGUGUUACUGCGAAGGGGGGACGGAGAAGGCUAUGUUGGCCGGGCGACGGUUGUCCCGGUUUAAGCGUGUAGGUGUGUGUUCCAGGUAAAUCCGGUUCACUUUAACACUGAGGCGUGACGACGAGGCACUACGGUGCUGAAGCAACAAAUGCCCUGCUUCCAGGAAAAGCCUCUAAGCAUCAGGUAACAUCAAAUCGUACCCCAAACCGACACAGGUGGUCAGGUAGAGAAUACCAAGGCGCUUGAGAGAACUCGGGUGAAGGAACUAGGCAAAAUGGUGCCGUAA